UUUUCAAAACUACUUGGAGGAGCUUGCUAUUUAAAUCGAUAACCCACGAAAAACCUCACCAACCCUUGCUAAAAGCAGCCUGUAUACCAUCGUCGUCAGUCUACCUCGCAAGAGAAGUAAACCAAACGAGUAAGAGCCAUUCUUACUCCCCACGUCAGAUCAAGGUGCAGCUAAUGGGUAUGGAAUAAGUGAGCUACAAUAACUAAAAUAAAAAAAAGAUAUGAAAUCUUAAUUAUGAAACAAAAAGAAGAAAAAGGAUUCAACAGUAAUACUAAAGAAGAGAAUGAGUAUGAAACCACAGCUCUGAAAAGCGC
rnacentral:rRNA from 1 species